rnacentral:rRNA from 1 species
AGUGAACGCUGGCGGUAGGCCUAACACAUGCAAGUCGAACGGCAGCACAGUAAGAGCUUGCUCUUACGGGUGGCGAGUGGCGGACGGGUGAGGAAUACAUCGGAAUCUACUUUUUCGUGGGGGAUAACGUAGGGAAACUUACGCUAAUACCGCAUACGACCUACGGGUGAAAGCAGGGGAUCUUCGGACCUUGCGCGAUUGAAUGAGCCGAUGUCGGAUUAGCUAGUUGGCGGGGUAAAGGCCCACCAAGGCGACGAUCCGUAGCUGGUCUGAGAGGAUGAUCAGCCACACUGGAACUGAGACACGGUCCAGACUACUACGGGAGGCAGCAGUGGGGAAUAUUGGACAAUGGGCGCAAGCCUGAUCCAGCCAUACCGCGUGGGUGAAGAAGGCCUUCGGGUUGUAAAGCCCUUUUGUUGGGAAAGAAAAGCAGCAGGCUAAUACCCCGCUGUUCUGACGGUACCCAAAGAAUAAGCACCGGCUAACUUCGUG